rnacentral:rRNA from 1 species
GAUGAACGCUGGCGGCGUGCCUAAUACAUGCAAGUCGAGCGAACGGACGAGAAGCUUGCUUCUCUGAUGUUAGCGGCGGACGGGUGAGUAACACGUGGAUAACCUACCUAUAAGACUGGGAUAACUUCGGGAAACCGGAGCUAAUACCGGAUAAUAUUUUGAACCGCAUGGUUCAAAAGUGAAAGGCGGUCUUGCUGUCACUUAUAGAUGGAUCCGCGCUGCAUUAGCUAGUUGGUAAGGUAACGGCUUACCAAGGCAACGAUGCAUAGCCGACCUGGGAGGGUGAUCGGCCACACUGGAACUGAGACACGGUCCAGACUCCUACGGGAGGCAGCAGUAGGGAAUCUUCCGCAAUGGGCGAAAGCCUGACGGAGCAACGCCGCGUGAGUGAUGAAGGUCUUCGGAUCGUAAAACUCUGUUAUUAGGGAAGAACAUAUGUGUAAGUAACUGUGCACAUCUUGACGGUACCUAAUCAGAAAGCCACGGCUAACUACGUG